ACCUUGCUUCAUUCGGAUUGGCCAGAUGUUUGUUAAUUGUUGGAAGAGAACAGGAGUUAGUUGAGUUGAUGUAUGGCUGUAAGUGUAGUCAGUUAAAUCUGCUAUAAAAUAAUCUGUCUCCAUCCAGUGUUGGUCUACACAGAGAGUAUUCCACCCAUCAGCUAAACAACCCUCAAACUACACAAGUAAAGCCAAUCUGUUUUUCUGAUGUUUGAGGCAGGGUCCUGAAUGUUCUUCAGCUGGUGAACGUCGUCUUGUGUUGGGCAAUGGCAGCUGGUCUCGCAGAACUUCAUGACCUUGGACUCAUAGACUAUACACUUUGGCUCUUGCCAGCCCUGUGCAGUCGUUUCCUCUUCCGAGUCAGAUGAUGUUAAGCUGGUGUCAAGGCAGAAAAAUGUUGCUGGGAUUGACACUCACCAAGGAGCUGUACCGUACCUGUCACCAAAGCCAUCCAAGAUGCAGAGAUAGCUGACACUCACAUGUCAUCGGCAGCCCCAGUGCAUUAGAUACCCUAUAGAGAAAUGGUGCAGUGAUCUGUGUUGCUGAUCACCUGUCGUCUUUGUAUUGACUCUACUGACGUGAAUAAGACUUGAAAUGUGAAUGUGAAUCAACUCUGAAUUAAAUCCCAAUCAAAUCUGGAUCUGGAUCCAGGGAAGUUUUAUGAGUCAUUGUUUCAGUGGAUUGUGUGGAAUUUCCUUUCCAUUGGAGACUGACAUGUAAUCUUUCACUAUUUACUGUGAGGAUACAAAUUGUGUUUGCAGUGCUGCUGUACAUGGAUUAUUGGGUCUGUUGCUGCAUACUGUACUGAGGCAUGGUCGUCAGCUUUCACACCUUUCACCCCUCACUCUUUGCCCCCUUACGCAACACACACACACACACACACACACACACACACACACACACACACACACACACACACACACACACACACACACACACACACACACACACACACACACACACACACACACACACACACACAGGCAGAACGACACAGAGCUCAAGCCUUUCCCCAGCCUUUGAUUGUGGAAUUUCCUGCCCAAGGACAUCCGCCAUUCAAAUGUCUUUUCACAAUUCACUUCCCAACUCGAAAUUUCAAAUGCCAGGGCUUUCAAUUAACAUUGAGCUCAUGUGAAGCACCUACAGCCCCUUGUCUGUGAAAAGCAGUACAGAAUGGGUUUUGUAUGGCGUUCAAGCACAUAAUAAACCGAUGGGAGGAUUUGCAAGAUUAUGA
rnacentral:lncRNA from 1 species